CAGCAGCCACGGGAAUACGUAGGUGGCAAGCGUUGUCCGGAAUUAUUGGACGUAAAGGGCUCGCAGGCGGUUUCUUAAGUCUGAUGUGAAAGCCCCAGGCUCAACCGGGGAGGGUCAUUGGAAACUGGGAAACUUGAGUGCAGAAGAGGAGAGUGGAAUUCCACGUGUAGCGGUGAAAUGCGUAGAGAUGUGGAGGAACACCAGUGGCGAAGGCGACUCUCUGGUCUGUAACUGACGCUGAGGAGCGAAAGCGUGGGGAGCGAACAGGAUUAGAUACCCGAGUAGUCCCUGUCUCUUAUAC
rnacentral:rRNA from 1 species